AUUUUAUUUUAAUUUCAUUUUAAAUAAAAAGAAAGGAUGAGGCCACAGUUAGUGGGGUCUUUGGGGCCGCUAGAGGUCAGAGGAUGAGGGAUAGAUGAACAGAAUGAUGGAAGGAAAGUCAGUCAAAAAAAGCAAAAGCAUUAUUAGUUUUAUUUUUUAUUUUUAAUCAUAAUUAGUUUACACACCGAUUUCAUUAUGAAUGGAAAUAAAUUAAUCAAAUAAUUCUACUGAAACUUCCAGGACUGUGUUGUAAGGCUUAAAAUCUCAUACAUGUGUAACAGAGACAGAAAACAGCGUAAAACGGAUCAUCUGUGAUUAUUUAUUU